rnacentral:rRNA from 1 species
UACAGAGACCUCAAGCGUUAUCCGGAAUCAUUGGGCGUAAAGCGUACCGAUAGGUGGUUAUACAAGUCAGAAGUGAAAUUCCAAAGCUUAACUUUGGGUCUGUCUUUUGAAACUGUAUAACUAGAAGGGCAAAGAGGAAGCUGGAACAAACGGUGUAGUAGUGAAAUGCGUUGAUAUCGUUUGGAACACCAAUAGCGUAGGCAGGCUUCUGGGUGCCACUUGACACUGCUAGGACGAAAGCGUGGGGGAGCGAAUGGG